GGGCUUGUAGCUCAGUGGACUAGAGCACGUGGCUACGAACCACGGUGUCGGGGGUUCGAAUCCCUCCCUGCCCG
rnacentral:tRNA from 8 species